rnacentral:rRNA from 1 species
UACGUAGGCAGCGAGCGUUGUUCGGAGUUACUGGGCGUAAAGGGUGUGUAGGCGGUUUCUUAAGUUUGGUGUGAAAUCUCCCGGCUUAACUGGGAGGGUGCGCCGAAUACUGAGAGGCUCGAGUGCGGGAGAGGAGAGUGGAAUUCCUGGUGUAGCGGUGAAAUGCGCAGAUAUCAGGAAGAACACCCGUGGCGAAGGCGGCUCUCUGGAACGCAACUGACGCUGAGACGCGAAAGCGUGGGGAGCAAACAGG